AUGAAGCCCCUGAUAGAAGCGGCCGUCAUUGAUUUAUGCCCCGGCACUAGCACCUUCUUGCCCACAAAGAUGGUGAUUGCGGACCUGGGUUGCUCCUCUGGUCCAAACGCGAUAGCGCUAGUCUCGAUCGCCGUCGAGGCCAUCCACAAUCACUGCCACCAGUUCUUACAGCCACCUCCUGAAGUGUCUGUGCUUCUCAACGACCUGCCUGACAACGACUUCAACAUUGUGGUGAAGAACCUAGUCACGCUACGCCGAAGCAGCAACGAUACCAUUGUCAUGACCGGUGUUUUACCGGGGUCGUUUUACGAGAGGCUCUUCACUAGUGGUUCCUUGCAUCUUGUCUUCUCGUCCAACAGCCUGCAUUGGCUCUCCAAGGCUCCUGAAGAUCUAAUAAGGAACCAGAUCCCGGCGUAUAACAUUGAUGAGCAUACAAGGCUUGAAAGGCGUCCUAUGGUCCUUCAGGCUUAUGCACAAUAG
rnacentral:rRNA from 1 species